GAUGAACGCUAGCUACAGGCUUAACACAUGCAGGUCGAGGGGAAACGACAUCGCAAGCUUGCUUUUGAUGGGCGUCGACCGGCGCACGGGUGAGUAACGCGUAUCCAACCUGCCCAUCACUUGGGAAUAACCUUGCGAAAGUAAGACUAAUACCCAAUGAUAUCCCACGAAGGCAUCGGAAUGGGAUUAAAGAUUUAUCGGUGAUGGAUGGGGAUGCGUCUGAUUAGCUUGUUGGCGGGGUAACGGCCCACCAAGGCAACGAUCAGUAGGGGUUCUGAGAGGAAGGUCCCCCACAUUGGAACUGAGACACGGACCAAACUCCUACGGGAGGCAGCAGUGAGGAAUAUUGGGCAGUGGGCGAGAGCCUGAACCAGCCAAGUAGCGUGCAGGAAGACGGCGCUAUGGGUUGUAAACUGCUUUUAUAAGGGAAUAAAGUGUGUAACGUGUGACUUUUUGCAUGUACCUGAUGAAGAAGGACCGGCUAAUUCCGUG
rnacentral:rRNA from 1 species